GAUGAACGCUGGCGGCGUGCCUAAUACAUGCAAGUCGAGCGAACAGACGAGGAGCUUGCUCCUCCGACGUUAGCGGCGGACGGGUGAGUAACACGUGGAUAACCUACCUAUAAGACUGGGAUAACUUCGGGAAACCGGGGCUAAUACCGGAUAAUAUAUUGAACCGCAUGGUUCAAUAGUGAAAGACGGUUUUGCUGUCACUUAUAGAUGGAUCCGCGCCGCAUUAGCUAGUUGGUAAGGUAACGGCUUACCAAGGCGACGAUGCGUAGCCGACCUGAGAGGGUGAUCGGCCACACUGGAACUGAGACACGGUCCAGACUCCUACGGGAGGCAGCAGUAGGGAAUCUUCCGCAAUGGGCGAAAGCCUGACGGAGCAACGCCGCGUGAGUGAUGAAGGUCUUCGGAUCGUAAAACUCUGUUAUUAGGGAAGAACAAAUGUGUAAGUAACUAUGCACGUCUUGACGGUACCUAAUCAGAAAGCCACGGCUAACUACGUG
rnacentral:rRNA from 1 species